AUGACGGGGACAAUAAACGUACGAUUUUGGUUCACAUCGAUCGGUCACGGAUUCGCGACGAAACCCGUCCGCUCUCCAAAUUCCAAAAACCACACACAUAUACCAAUGUGUAAUCCCGCUAAAUCCUAGAUUCAAAUUCAAAUUUGAAUAUCUUACUACUAGUAGGUACAUGUAACAUCCCUCACCUUACUCUAGGUCACAAACACAGAGCACGAGGAGUCUCAUUAUGCAAGAACAGCAAAGAGCGAAAACCCUCUUUUCGAUAAAAUCCCUUUAUCUCGAAAACCGUGCAUCAGAUUUGAAAUCUGUCAGUGCCAUUGGUUCCAGAAUAGCUGAACCGAUCGAAACGAGCUAUUGGAUCGCUAUGAACGGAGUCCAAUACGUGCCAGAAGCCAACUCUACUCCGCGGCUUCUCCGGAAAACCAGAGUUACUAUUCACUUAAGUGAAAACUAAUAAUCGCGUUACUUCUCCAUUUUAGCUCAUUUUCUCCUGAAACUUGACGAGUGCUUAUGUAAUUAAAUUACACACAUAAACAUCAUCA
rnacentral:lncRNA from 1 species